CUCCGCAAAGCUUACGAGCGAGGCUCUGGCCAAUGAAUGGACAGUGAUGAUAGUUUGUGGCUCCUUUAUAACAUCUGCCCUGUGAGACGCCCGGUUAGGGAGGGAGUAGAGUAAUCGAGCCUAUGGUGGCACUUGGGGUCCGCACCAUGGUGCCCCAAGAUAUCUGCUCGACACAUCCCAGCCGCACACUUUCCUACACUCAAACCCUCACAUAAAAGAACACACAGUGGGCUGGAGAGAUGGCUCAGUGGUUAAAAGCACCCGACUACUCUUCCAGAGGUCCUGAGUUCAAUUCCCAGCAACCACAUGGUGGCUCACAACCAUCUGUAAUGAGAUCUGGCGCCCUCUUCUAGUGUGUCUGAAGACAGCUACAGUGUACUUAUCUAUAAUAAAUGAAUAAAUCUUAAAAAAAAA